ACCAACAGGGAUUGCCUCAGUAACGGCGAGUGAAGCGGCAAUAGCUCAAAUUUGAAAUCUGGCUCUUUCAGGGUCCGAGUUGUAAUUUGUAGAGGAUGCUUCGGCUUCGGCCCCGGUCUAAGUUCUUGGAACAGGACAUCACAGAGGGUGAGAAUCCCGUAUGUGGUCGGCGGCCCCCGCCAUGUGAAGCUCCUUCGACGAGUCGAGUUGUUUGGGAAUGCAGCUCUAAAUGGGAGGUAAAUUUCUUCUAAAGCUAAAUACUGGCCAGAGACCGAUAGCGCACAAGUAGAGUGAUCGAAAGAUGAAAAGCACUUUGGAAAGAGAGUUAAAAAGUACGUGAAAUUGUUGAAAGGGAAGCGCUUGCAACCAGACUUGCCCGCGGUUGCUCAGCCGGUCUCUUGACCGGUGCACUCUUCCGCGGUCAGGCCAGCAUCAGUUCGGGCGGUCGGAUAAAGGCCUUGGGAAUGUAGCUCUCCUCGGAGAGUGUUAUAGCCCUCGGUGCAAUGCGGCCAGCCUGGACUGAGGUCCGCGCUUCGGCUAGGAUGCUGGCGUAAUGGUUGUAAGCGGCCCGUCUUGAAACACGGACCAAGGAGUCUAACAUCUAUGCGAGUGUUUGGGUGUCAAACCCGUACGCGUAAUGAAAGUGAACGGAGGUGGGAACCUUAGGGUGCACCAUCGACCGAUCCUGAUGUCUUCGGAUGGAUUUGAGUAUGAGCAUAGCUGUUGGGACCCGAAAGAUGGUGAACUAUGCCUGAAUAGGGUGAAGCCAGAGGAAACUCUGGUGGAGGCUCGCAGCGGUUCUGACGUGCAAAUCGAUCGUCAAAUU
rnacentral:rRNA from 1 species